GUAGACUUUAGAAAUAUCAGGCCGCCAAACACUGACACUUUUACUACAGAUUAAGCAUUAUUUUACAAAUAAAGCAAAUUAGCUCGAAAUUUGCGGCUCUCUUGAGACAAGGUGUUGCGCCAAGUAAAUCCUGCAGACUGGCCACUUAAUAAAGGUAAAAAUUGACAUAAAACAUCUUUUGGGACAGCUCUUUGGGUGGCCGCGGCCACUUAAUAGAGGUGGUCGUUUAAUAGAGGGAUAGUUUAUAGUAUUUGUAUUACAAAAAUUUCGGGACUUCGAUAUGUGGCCGUUUAAUAGAGGGUGGUCGCUCAUGCAAUGGAGGGCCGCUUAAUACCGUUCAUAAGUUACUGUACCUUGUUCUAUUCUAUGCUUCCAAAACUACAAAAAUAGUAACUAGGCAUGUCAGUUAUCUGAACGCUUAGUUGCUUUUGUUCUAUUCCAUGCUUUCCUAAACUAUAACAAUACUAACUAGUCAUGUGAAAUCAUGUGAACUUUUUGUUUUGCAAGCGCACGAAGGCGUUUCACCUGCGCACACGGAAAGUUUUGGCCUGUCCCAUUCAUGUUUGCUCUAGACAAAUCAUAUGACGUUGAUGAGAUAAAUACUCAUAUGGCGUUGUUUAUCUUCAGAUGGAAAUCUCACAGCAGUGAAAUAGGGGGUAAAGAGGGGAAUUAUUUUUGUGGAAAUGAAAAUGGGGGGGGGAGGGUUGAAAUAGAGAAUGGUAUCAACAUAUUUCUAUAUUCUCCGCUCGCUCAUCUCAAUAUUGUUUUGUAUGUCGUGGUUGAGUGCCGAAAGCUAAUUUGGUUUUCUUCAGCAUAUUGCACUGGGAAAUCGGUUAUACUUUAUUAAUUUCCCCAAUGUAUACAGUACUU